AUGAUUCAAGCUCUCCUGCUCCUCGCGCUAAUUCCGCUCGCCGCAGCACAGGCGUGGCCAAACUGCUUCGCAGGCCACGGCAACUACUCGGCAGGCAGCACAUACGAGAACAACCUCCUAGAUCUCCUCCUCGCCCGCCCUAUUCGCCUCCGCGCCUCCGACUGCUACGACUGCGUCACCUCCGCCGGUCAGGACCCGGCCACUGCCUGGGCCCUGGCUCUCUACCGCGUCGACGUCAGCGCCUCCGACUGCUACGACUGCGUCACCUCCCCGGGUCAGGACGCGGCCACAGCCUGCAACCGCAGCAGGGACGUUGGCCUCAGCUACGACCAGUGCUACGUCCGCCUAGCCAACCACAACGACUUCCUCGACCCCAACGGCAACUCCGGCGAGGUAAAUCACUUUAGUGAUCUCAAAAUCACAAGCAACGACGUCGACGGCUACAACCGCGCGGUCACCGGCCUUCUGAGCGCCACGGUGCAGUAUGCCGUGGAAAACUCCACCAGGCUGUUCGCCACGGGGCAAUGGGUAGGGCCCGACCCGGGGUUCAGCAAUAUCUACUCGGCGGCGCAGUGCGCGGCGGAUCUGUCGCCGAUGCAGUGCCGAAGCUGCCUCCAGGGCCUUGUGGGCAAGUGGUGGUCCACCUUCUCGCGGGACGUGAUGGCCGCGAGGCUGGCUGGUCCGCGGUGUACCUUGAGGUCCGAAUUGGACCAGUUCUACAAUGGCGACGCGAUGCUCCUGUUGCCGACCAAGGUGGCCGCACCGGCGCCACCAGCUCCAGCACCGACGGCUGCUACUAGAGGCAGAGCUUGA
rnacentral:rRNA from 1 species